ACUCCUACGGGAGGCAGCAGUGGGGAAUAUUGCACAAUGGGGGAAACCCUGAUGCAGCCAUGCCGCGUGUGUGAAGAAGGCCUUCGGGUUGUAAAGCACUUUCAGUAGGGAGGAAGGUAGUGUAGUUAACACCUGCACUAUUUGACGUUACCUACAGAAGAAGCACCGGCUAACUCCGUGCCAGCAGCCGCGGUAAUACGGAGGGUGCGAGCGUUAAUCGGAAUUACUGGGCGUAAAGCGCAUGCAGGUGGUUUGUUAAGUCAGAUGUGAAAGCCCGGGGCUCAACCUCGGAACUGCAUUUGAAACUGGCAGACUAGAGUACUGUAGAGGGGGGUAGAAUUUCAGGUGUAGCGGUGAAAUGCGUAGAGAUCUGAAGGAAUACCGGUGGCGAAGGCGGCCCCCUGGACAGAUACUGACACUCAGAUGCG
rnacentral:rRNA from 1 species